rnacentral:rRNA from 1 species
UACAGAGGGGGCAAGCGUUGUUCGGAAUUACUGGGCGUAAAGGGCGCGUAGGCGGCCUUCUAAGUCGAACGUGAAAUCCCCGGGCUCAACCCAGGAACUGCGUCCGAUACUGGGAGGCUUGAAUCCGGGAGAGGGAUGCGGAAUUCCAGGUGUAGCGGUGAAAUGCGUAGAUAUCUGGAGGAACACCGGUGGCGAAGGCGGCAUCCUGAACCGGUAUUGACGCUGAGGCGCGAAAGCCAGGGGAGCAAACGGG